UUCCGCCUCUCGGGCUUCUCCUCCCCAACUCAGCUUACCUUCGCUUUCUGGGCGUCCCUCCCUUCCCCGCUGCCCCCCCCCACAGUGCUCCCCGUUCUUCACUUUACCCCGGUUCCUGCGCCUCAGCUUCUCUAGAUCACCCCCAACCUCGCCCCUCACACCGCCCCCCGCCCUGCCAGGUCCCCAGCGCGUGGGCCCCUGGGAAUUGUAGUUUGCCCGGCUGCGGGGUGAUAUGUUGGAGAGAUCAAGGACAAAGGGGCAGUUAGGACUACAUCUCCCAAUGGUCAUAGCGCGCGAGCGGAGGUGAAGGGAGGGGUUCUAAUUCCGCGGCCACGGGGGACCCCUGGCGGGGACUGAGGCUGCUUCAGUCUUAGCGAGUGCUGAUUCACGGCCCCGCCCCAUAUUCUCCGGGAAAUUACGAGGUGAGGGGGCCAGGACCUCAGCCCUGGACCCCGUCUCAGAGAUAAAGUAGCAGCAGGCCAAGGAGGGACAGAGGAGAGGAUACGCGUCCACCGUGGGUCCAAACUUGCCAGGGUGGUGCCCGCCGGCAGGAUGGGUUGAAUUACGGAGCUUAAUAUUGGGAGCUAAACUGUCACCCUCCCCCACAGGCUUCCAUUUCCCCACACGCACUUUGAGGUUCUUGGACCCGAUGAGGUGAAAACAUGGAAGGACAAAUACUGGCCGGGCAUACUGGUUCAUUUACAGAAAGGAUGCAGCUGUCUUCAGGCUGACCCCCGGGGGAGCUCCUUCCUCUCCAGCGUGGAGUGUCAAAGAUUAAGUUCUGUUGCCAAGAGCCUACUGUAUGCUUCACAUGAGGUUGUUAUCUGAGGGUUGACCAACCCUUCUCUCCCCACCUAAGACGCACACACUGAGGUCGGGCUGACAAAUUCUUGCUCAUAUGCUUCCAUUUUCAACGUUCCGUGGAGCUUACACAUCCAGAGUUUUGACUGCACAUUUUAUUGGCUUCAUUUUUUUUUCCCCGGCAGUUAUCUGUAGAGCACCUACUGUGUUCCAAGCACUGUUCUAAGCAAUGGGGUACAGCAAGGAACGACACAAAAAAACCCUACCCCCCCCAAAACAGAGGGGUCUGAAGCAGCGUUCUGAGGCUUCGAACUCCAACGGAGGACUCGUGGGAGACUGAUAGUGAUGAGGCGGUGGCAGCCUGCCAACUGAUCACACGGAGUGAGGUGGACCUUUCUAUCUUUGGAGGAUUGCAAGCUUCAGAGAGCCCACCAAUGCCUGCUCAUCUCAAGGAAGCAAUUUCUCCAUCAGCUGGAGCUGUGUGAGUGCCUGAUAGGCGAUGCGAACGGAAAGAUGGCCAAAAAGAGAUUGCCAGGACACGCAGUACCGAUUCCCUGCGCACAGAGGCUUCUACGAGGCCGAAGGACACUUCGUGACAAAGAGGAGGGGUUUGGUCUCCAACCUCAUGGCAGCAGCGCCCCUUCCCCCAACCCAGGCUGGGUGCCCAGCUACGUCCAAGUCUUACCUGGGGGUCUAUAAUCGAUGCUCCUCCCCCCAAGUCCUCACCUUAGUCUCUAAUCUCAGAGAGCUGGGAAAGGCCAAUAGGUGAGAAAAAACAACAGGAGAGCGGAUGUGAUUGUUCCCAUGCCCCUAUAGACACUAGAGAACCCAUAGCACAGAUGAGGAACCCAAGGCACACAGAAGAUAAGUAACCUGUCCAGGUCAUACAGCUAGUAAGUGGAGGCUUUGGGUCAUAAAGGAGGUUCAUGUGUCUCUUACUCCUUAUCCACCAUCCAGAAGCACCCAGCUGGGCCUAUUUCUUUUUCUUUUUUGAUGUUUUUAUUUAGUUUUGAGAGAGAGAGAGAAAGAGAGAGACAGGGUGUGAGCAGGGGAGGAGCAGAGAGAGGGAGACGCAGAGUAUGAAGCAGGCUCCAGGCUCUGAGCUGUCAGCACAGAGCCUGACGUGGGGCUGAAACUCACAAACCUCGAGAUCAUGGGAGCUGAAGUCAGGGGCUCAUCGCCAUCCAGGCGAUGUCAGAGCCAUCCAGGCGCCCCUCUUGGUUUUUGUUUUUGUUUUGUUUUGUUUUGUUUUAACUUUUUUCGAUGUUUGUUUUUUCAA